UUUCCGUAGGUGAACGUGCGGAAGGAUCAUUCAUAAUAAAGUGUUUUAUGGCACUUUUUAAAAAUCCAUAUCCACCUUGUGUGCAAUGUUAGAUCUCGUCAAUCUUGGCGAGAUUUUUAUACAUCAACUCAUUUUUUAACUAAUUUGUCUGAAAAAUAUUAUGAAUACUUAAUUCAAAAUACAACUUUCAACAACGGAUCUCUUGGCUCUC
rnacentral:misc_RNA from 1 species